AACGAACGCUGGCGGCAUGCCUAACACAUGCAAGUCGAACGAGACCUUCGGGUCUAGUGGCGCACGGGUGCGUAACACGUGGGAAUCUGCCCUUCGGUUCGGAAUAACAGAGAGAAAUUUCUGCUAAUACCGGAUAACGACGAAAGUCCAAAAGAUUUAUCGCCCAAGGAUGAGCCCGCGUAAGAUUAGCUAGUUGGUAGGUAAAGGCCUACCAAGGCUACGAUCUUUAGCUGGUCUGAGAGGAUGAUCAGCCACACUGGGACUGAGACACGGCCCAGACUCCUACGGGAGGCAGCAGUAGGGAAUAUUGGACAAUGGGGAAACCCUGAUCCAGCAAUGCCGCGUGAGUGAUGAAGGCCUUAGGGUUGUAAAGCUCUUUUACCCGAGAUGAUAAUGACAGUAUCGGGAGAAUAAGCUCCGGCUAACUCCGUGCCAGCAAGCCGCGGUAAUCUAGUCUACG
rnacentral:rRNA from 1 species